UAAUACGGAGGAUCCGAGCGUUAUCCGGAUUUAUUGGGUUUAAAGGGUGCGCAGGCGGGAGAUUAAGUCGGCGGUGAAAUUUUGCAGCUCAACUGUAAAAGUGCCUUCGAUACUGGUUUCCUUGAGUGUGGAUGAAGUAGGCGGAAUUUGUGGUGUAGCGGUGAAAUGCUUAGAUAUCACGAGGAACUCCGAUUGCGCAGGCAGCUUACUAAACCACUACUGACGCUCAGGCACGAAGGCGUGGGGAUCAAACAGG
rnacentral:rRNA from 1 species